GUCCUGCCGUCGAGACGUAAUCCGCGCGUGGUAUAAAGGAAGCGCGCCGCAUUCGCAUAGGGAAUAGUUCAAGAGAAGCACCACCAUGAAGUUGACUGUAGCGGUUCUUGCGUUGCUGAUGGUGUUGGUUGUCUGCGUUGCUCCUGGAUUCGGUGCUCCGCACGGAGGCUUCAGAAGACGCUGGCCCAUCGGACGAUUCUACGGACGUCCUUUCAUCGGAGGCCUCGGCUUCGGCAUCGGAGGCGUCCUUGGAGGCGGCAUUGGAGGCGGCAUUGGAGGCGGAUUCCUAGCCCCCGGCUAUGCUAACCACUUCGGCUACGGCUGGCCUACCUACGCCCAUGGCACCUGGUGAAAAGGUUGUCGUUACCUUGAGCUCAGCAUGACCAUGGUGGUUGCUUUUUCAUUGGCAUCAGCGUCCCUUGCGCCACACUGCUUUCUCGGACGUUGGAGCGAGGUGAACACUCGCCCUAGAGUUCAGCAUAUCUUACCUGCAUCUAGGUAAUCACACCAAUCCAGCCUGUACAAUCCAGCUCAGCCAGCUUCUGUUGUAAUGCGAGUAGCUAAUACAUGUCGGACAUUGAUGAGCCUGGUGUGCG